rnacentral:rRNA from 1 species
GUAGGGAAUAUUGCGCAAUGGGGGAAACCCUGACGCAGCGACGCCGCGUGAGUGAUGAAGGCCUUCGGGUCGUAAAGCUCUGUUGCAGGGGAAUAAAAAAAUGAGGGUACCCUGUGAGGAAGGAUCGGCUAACUUCGUGCCAGCAGCCGCGGUAAGACGAGGGAUCCUAGCGUUGCUCGGAAUCAUUGGGCGUAAAGAGGGCGUAGGUGGCUUGGUAAGUCAGGUGUGAAAGCCCAGGGCUCAACCCUGGAAGUGCAUUUGAUACUGCUGAGCUUGAGUGUCGGAGAGGUUACCGGAAUACCUGGUGUAGUGGUGAAAUACGUAGAUAUCAGGUGGAACACCGGAGGCGAAGGCGGGUAACUGGACGAACACUGACACUGAGGCCCGAAAGCGUGGGGAUCAAACAGGAUUAGAUACCCUUGUAGUCC